UUGUCUCAAAGAUUAAGCCAUGCAUGUCUCAGUACAAGCCUAAGUAAGGUGAAACCGCGAAAGGCUCAUUAAAUCAGUUAUGGUUCCUUAGAUCGUACCCACACUUACUUGGAUAACUGUGGUAAUUCUAGAGCUAAUACAUGCCAACAGAGCUCGAACCGGAUGACGGAACGAGUGCUUUUAUUAGAUCAAAACCAAUCGGUGGCGGGUCCGCUCGUCAUCGCCCAGCUUGGUGACUCUGAAUAACUUGAAGCUGAUCGCACGGUCUCGCACCGGCGACGCAUCUUUCAAAUGUCUGCCUUAUCAACUGUCGAUGGUAGGUUCUGCGCCUACCAUGGUUGUAACGGGUAACGGGGAAUCAGGGUUCGAUUCCGGAGAGGGAGCCUGAGAAACGGCUACCACAUCCAAGGAAGGCAGCAGGCGCGCAAAUUACCCACUCCCGGCACGGGGAGGUAGUGACGAAAAAUAACGAUACGGGACUCAUCCGAGGCCCCGUAAUCGGAAUGAGUACACUCUAAACCCUUUAACGAGGAUCAAUUGGAGGGCAAGUCUGGUGCCAGCAGCCGCGGUAAUUCCAGCUCCAAUAGCGUAUAUUAAAGUUGUUGCGGUUAAAAAGCUCGUAGUCGGAUCUGUGUCUCGCGCCGCCGGUUCAUCGUCCGCGGUGUCAACUGGCGUGUCGUGAGACGUAUUGCCGGUGGGCUUAGCCCUUCUGGGGCGGCCCAACUAAUCCCGCCGCGGUGCUCUUCACUGAGUGUCGAGGUAGGCCGGCACGUUUACUUUGAACAAAUUAGAGUGCUUAAAGCAGGCUAAAACNUCGCCUGAAUAUUGUGUGCAUGGAAUAAUGGAAUAGGACCUCGGUUCUAUUUUGUUGGUUUUCGGAACCCCGAGGUAAUGAUUAAUAGGAACGGAUGGGGGCAUUCGUAUUGCGACGUUAGAGGUGAAAUUCUUGGACCGUCGCAAGACGAACAGAAGCGAAAGCAUUUGCCAAAAACGUUUUCAUUGAUCAAGAACGAAAGUCAGAGGUUCGAAGGCGAUCAGAUACCGCCCUAGUUCUGACCAUAAACUAUGCCAGCUAGCGAUCCGCCGACGUUCCUCCGAUGACUCGGCGGGCAGCUUCCGGGAAACCAAAGCUUUUGGGUUCCGGGGGAAGUAUGGUUGCAAAGCUGAAACUUAAAGGAAUUGACGGAAGGGCACCACCAGGAGUGGAGCCUGCGGCUUAAUUUGACUCAACACGGGAAACCUCACCAGGCCCGGACACCGGAAGGAUUGACAGAUUGAGAGCUCUUUCUUGAUUCGGUGGGUGGUGGUGCAUGGCCGUUCUUAGU
rnacentral:rRNA from 1 species